CAGCCAAAAAGCCGAACUCCAUCACUCUGCCAAAGGACAGGGAGACGAUCCGCAUGCUUGAUCUCUCAGGAAAUGAGCUGGACUCUUUGUCCUGUUUGGUGGACAACAGCACCGUCCAACGCCAUUUGGGGCAUCUCUUCCGCUUGGACAUGAGCCACAACAAUCUGCAGGAGCUUCCUUCAGCACUUUGUCAGAGCUUGAGGAGUCUGACUCGAAUAGACCUCCAUGGCAACCAGCUCCAGUCAUUUCCAUUUGAGAUGCUGGGCCUUCCUUCUUUGAGUGUGCUUAACAUCUCUCACAACUGCAUGGGUCCCAAACUCAUCUUUAAUCCCACAUUUACAUGCCCAUCCCUACGGCAGCUCAAUCUGUCUUUCAAUAAAAUCACUACAUUCCCGCAAGAGCUGGGCCAGGUCAUCAUCUGG